AUACAGGAAUUCUCUAGGCCAGAUAAUUGGAUUAAUGUACUUGGAGAACAUCUGCAACAAGAAUGAAAGAUGGGUGAUCUUAAACAUUCUUGACGCAUUUCAGAUUUUAAAGGAAGAUAUCUUCAUUUUCACCCAUAUUAUUACUGCUGCUGCUGCUAAGUCACUUCAGUCGUGUCUGACUCUGUGCGACCCCAUAGAUGGCAGCCCACCAGGCUCCCCUAUCCCUAGGAUUCUCCAGGCAAGAACACUGGAGUGGGUUGCCAUUUCCUUCUCCAAUGCAUGAAAGUGAAAAGUGAAAGUGAAGUCGCUCAGUCAUGUCUGACUCUUAGCGACCCCAUGGACUGCAGCCCACCAGGCUCCUCCGUCCAUGGGAUUUUCCAGGCAAGAGUACUGGAGUGGGGUGUCAUUGCCUUCUCCCAUAUUAUUACUUGCUUGUAAAUAAUUUGUGUCUUAAUUUAUUAUAAAUAUUUAAGUUACAAAAGUGUUCAAGUUGCAUGUAUAUGUUAUGUUG
ensembl:lncRNA